rnacentral:rRNA from 1 species
GAAAUUCCAAUCGAACACGGAUAUAGCUGGUUCUCUCCGAAAUAGCUUUAGGGCUAGCCUCGAUGUUAAGUCUACUGGAGGUAGAGCACUGAAUGGGUGAUGGCCCCACCUCGGGGUACUGAUCUCAAUCAAACUCCGAAUGCCAGAUAGAUAUAAUCGGGAGUCAGACUGUGGGUGAUAAGGUCCAUGGUCAAAAGGGAAAGAGCCCAGACCGCCAGCUAAGGCCCCCAAGUGUCCGUUAAGUGGAAAAGGAUGUGGAGAUGCACAGACAACUAGGAGGUUGGCUUAGAAGCAGCCAUCCUUUAAAGAGUGCGUAAGAGCUCACUAGUCGAGUGACUCUGCGCCGAAAAUGUACCGGGGCUAAACGGACCGCCGAAGCUGCGGAUUGACUUUAGAGUCAGUGGUAGGAGAGCGUUCUAACAGCGGUGAAGCAGUACCGGAAGGAGCUGUGGAGCGGUUAGAAGUGAGAAUGCCGGUGUGAGUAGCGAAAGAUAGGUGAGAAUCCUAUCCAUCGAAAGCCUAAGGUUUCCAGGGGAAGGCUCGUCCGCCCUGGGUAAGUCGGGACCUAAGGUGAGGCCGAAAGGCGUAGCCGAUGGACAACAGGUUGAUAUUCCUGUACCACUUAUUAAACUGAUGGAGUGACGGAGAAGGCUAAGUUGAGCGUGUGAUUGGAUUCACGUGUAAGCAGUGAGGUGGUCAUGUAGGCAAAUCCGCAUGGCAUAACAUUGAGCUGUGAUGCCGAAGCCGAAUGGCGAAGUCAACUGACGUCACGCUUCCAAGAAAAGCUUCUAGGGUUAAUUUAAUAAGUGCCCGUACCGAUAACCGACACAGGUAGGCGAGGAGAGAAUCCUAAGAUGAGCGAGAGAACUCUUGUUAAGGAACUCGGCAAAAUGACCCCGUAACUUCGGGAGAAGGGGUGCUUGUGAAAGCAAGCCGCAGUGAAUAGGCCCAGGCGACUGUUUAUCAAAAACACAGGUCUCUGCUAAACCGCAAGGUGAUGUAUAGGGGCUGACGCCUGCCCGGUGCUGGAAGGUUAAGAGGAGAGGUUAGCGCAAGCGAAGCUUUGAAUUGAAGCCCCAGUAAACGGCGGCCGUAACUAUAACGGUCCUAAGGUAGCGAAAUUCCUUGUCGGGUAAGUUCCGACCCGCACGAAAGGCGUAACGAUCUGGGCGCUGUCUCAACAAGAGACUCGGUGAAAUCAUAGUACCUGUGAAGAUGCAGGUUACCCGCGACAGGACGGAAAGACCCCGUGGAGCUUUACUGUAGCUUGAUACUGAGCACUGGUGGCACAUGUACAGGAUAGGUGGGAGACGAAGAAACCAGGACGCCAGUCUUGGUGGAGUCGCUGUUGGGAUACCACCCUUGUGUCAC